rnacentral:rRNA from 1 species
UACGAAGGGUGCAAGCGUUACUCGGAAUUACUGGGCGUAAAGCGUGCGUAGGUGGUGAGUUAAGUCUGUCGUGAAAGCCCCGGGCUCAACCUGGGAAUGGCGAUGGAUACUGGCUCGCUAGAGUGCGGUAGAGGAGAGUGGAAUUCCCGGUGUAGCGGUGAAAUGCGCAGAUAUCGGGAAGAACACCCGUGGCGAAGGCGGCUCUCUGGGACGGUACUGACGCUGAGACGCGAAAGCGUGGGGAGCGAACAGG